AUGAAAAAGGUCCCGGAGAACAAACCGCCAUCCUAUGGACGUGUGCACGGCAUCGGAGAUGGCACCUCGUGGAAGAUGUGCUACCGCGAGGAGCAAGAAGAAAUAAGGAACAGACGGUUGCUCAAUCAUCAUACCAUCGACGAGAAGGUCGCAAUUGCGAUCAAUAAGACCAAAGAUGAGACCAAAGAAGGGUUGCUCGGGGUAGGCAAUGCAGUGAUCAAUGACGCGGUUGCUGGUGUCAUGGCUAACUUCCAAUCUUCAAUUAUUACCAGCUUAAUUCCGGCAAUUAUCGAUUGGUCGAACAGCAAUCCAAAUAAAGGGCCAGAGGACUUUCCCCUUCCCAGCCACGUCAGGAGUAAUUUGGUGAACAUCAAACCACCAGCACCUUUUCAAGCAACCGCUAAAUAUCCCGCUCCUGUUCAUCGUAGCCCGACCUCCGUCUCUGGCAUGCUUGACGAACCUUUGUUUAUGGUGAGCUUGAUGCCCUCAUGGUAA
rnacentral:rRNA from 1 species